rnacentral:rRNA from 1 species
AUUGAACGCUGGCGGCAUGCCUUACACAUGCAAGUCGAACGGCAGCAUGGAGAGCUUGCUCUCUGAUGGCGAGUGGCGAACGGGUGAGUAAUGCAUCAGAACGUACCGCGUAAUGGGGGAUAACGUAGCGAAAGUUACGCUAAUACCGCAUACGACCUGAGGGUGAAAGCAGGGGAUCGCAAGACCUUGCGUUAUACGAGCGGCCGAUGUCAGAUUAGCUAGUUGGUGAGGUAAAGGAUCACCAAGGCGACGAUCUGGAGCGGGUCUGAGAGGAUGAUCCGCCACACUGGGACUGAGACACGGCCCAGACUCCUACGGGAGGCAGCAGUGGGGAAUUUUGGACAAUGGGGGCAACCCUGAUCCAGCCAUGCCGCGUGAGUGAAGAAGGCCUUCGGGUUGUAAAGCUCUUUCGGCCGGGAAGAAAUCGCACAGGCUAAUACUCUGUGUGGAUGACGGUACCGGCAUAAGAAGCACCGGCUAACUACGUGCCAGCCGCCGCCGUAA